rnacentral:rRNA from 1 species
GAUUAACGCUGGCGGCGUGCCUAACACAUGCAAGUCGAACGAGGUAGCAAUACCUAGUGGCAGACGGGUGAGUAACGCGUGGUCAACCUACCGUUGAGUGGGGGAUAACUAGCCGAAAGGUUAGCUAAUACCGCAUACGUCUCCGAGGGGCAUCCCUUGGCGAUAAAAGGAGCAAUCCGCUCGAUGACGGGACCGCGUCCCAUUAGCUAGAUGGUGGGGUAACGGCCUACCAUGGCACCGAUGGGUAGCUGGUUUUGAGAGAGCGACCAGCCACACUGGGACUGAGAAACGGCCCAGACUCCUACGGGAGGCAGCAGUGAGGAAUUUUCCGCAAUGGGCGCAAGCCUGACGGAGCGACGCCGCGUGUGGGAAGAAGGCC